CGCUGGCUCCGUGCCCGUCCACCGAACGGUUCGGCAGGCGAUCCGCGUCGGUCGCGCUGGGUGGUAUGGUUCCCCAGAGGCCGGUUCUUGUGCUGCCUACCCCUUCAGGGGAAGAAGUUUCAAACUCGAUGUAAGCCUCCAUCCGGCGCCCUCCAGAGGGCGCGGGAGGACAACGGAGCACCCCCCGCGUUCCACCGAGCCUCCUCGGUCGCGUGGCCCGCGGGGACGUGCGAUGCUCUCGGACCCAGCGAACGCCGUGGGCGAGGACUCACGUCCCGGUCCCAAGUGAAGCAAACGGUAUAACGCCGACGGCCGCUCCCGCCCCCCGACCGCCCCGGCGACGCGAGGGCGAAGGCGCGACGUCGCUGAGGAAUGCUACCU
rnacentral:misc_RNA from 1 species